AUUGAACGCUGGCGGUAUGCUUAACACAUGCAAGUCGAACGGUAACAGGCCUUCGGGCGCUGACGAGUGGCGGACGGGUGCGAACGCGUAGGAAUCUGCCUGUUAGUGGGGGACAACGUGGGGAAACUCACGCUAAUACCGCAUACGCCCUACGGGGGAAAGCGGGGGACCUUCGGGCCUCGCGCUAACAGAUGAGCCUGCGUGGGAUUAGCUAGUUGGUAGGGUAAAGGCCUACCAAGGCGACGAUCCCUAGCUGGUCUGAGAGGACGAGCAGCCACACGGGGACUGAGACACGGCCCAGACUCCUACGGGAGGCAGCAGUGGGGAAUAUUGGAUAAUGGGCGCAAGCCUGAUCCAGCAAUACCGCGUGUGUGAAGAAGGCCUGAGGGUUGUAAAGCACUUUCAAUAGGGAGGAAUAGCGGCCGGCGAAUACCCGGUCGUCUGACAUUACCUAUACAAGAAGCACCGGCUAACUCCGUGCCAGCCGCCGCCGUAAUAC
rnacentral:rRNA from 1 species